rnacentral:rRNA from 1 species
AACGCGAAGAACCUUACCAGGUCUUGACAUCCUCUGACAACCCUAGAGAUAGGGCUUUCCCUUCGGGGACAGAGUGACAGGUGGUGCAUGGUUGUCGUCAGCUCGUGUCGUGAGAUGUUGGGUUAAGUCCCGCAACGAGCGCAACCCUUGAUCUUAGUUGCCAGCAUUUAGUUGGGCACUCUAAGGUGACUGCCGGUGACAAACCGGAGGAAGGUGGGGAUGACGUCAAAUCAUCAUGCCCCUUAUGACCUGGGCUACACACGUGCUACAAUGGAUAGUACAAAGGGUUGCAAGACCGCGAGGUGGAGCUAAUCCCAUAAAACUAUUCUCAGUUCGGAUUGUAGGCUGCAACUCGCCUACAUGAAGCCGGAAUCACUAGUAAUCGCGGAUCAGCAUGCCGCGGUGAAUACGUUCCCGGGCCUUGUACACACCGCUACAGU